UACUGCUAUCAGUGUUCGAUUAAGCCAUGCGAGUUAAAUGUUCUUCGUGAACAUGGCGUACUGCUCAGUAACACGUGGAUAACCUGCCCUAAGGUCCGGCAUAACCCCGGGAAACUGGGGAUAAUACCGGAUAAACCAUANAUACUGGAAUGUUCUGUGGUUCAAAGUUCCGGCGCCUUANGAUGGAUCUGCGGCCUAUCAGGUAGUAGUGGGUGUAAAGUACCUACUAGCCGACGACGGGUACGGGUUGUGAGAGCAAGAGCCCGGAGAUGGAUUCUGAGACAUGAAUCCAGGCCCUACGGGGCGCAGCAGGCGCGAAAUCUUUACAAUGCGGGAAACCGCGAUAAGGGGACACUGAGUGCCAGCAUAUUAUGUUGGCUGUCCACCUGUAUAAAUCACA
rnacentral:rRNA from 1 species